UUGAAACCCCACAGAAGAGAAAACAAUCACAGAGCAGCUACUAUUAUUAUUUGGGUGGUGGAUCAUUAAUUCUCAAUACUGCAGUGAUUAGCAGUGAUUAGCAUGGUGGUGGUGUAUGAGGUGUUAGUGUGUGUUGAGCUGGUGGUACAGUGAGUGGAUCAGAUACAGCAGUGAUUAGCGUGGUGGUGGUGUAUGAGGUGUUAGUGUGUGUUGAGCUGGUGGUACAGUGAGUGGAUCAGAUACAGCAGUGAUUAGCAUGGUGGUGGUGUUAGUGAGUGUUGUGCUGGUGGUACAGUGAGUGGAUCAGAUACAGCAGUGAUUAGCAGUGAUUAGCAUGGUGGUGGUGUAUGAGGUGUUAGUGUGUGUUGAGCUGGUGGUACAGUGAGUGGAUCAGAUACAGCAGUGUUUAGCAGUGAUUAGCAUGGUGGUGGUGUAUGAGGUGUUAGUGUGUGUUGAGCUGGUGGUACAGUGAGUGGAUCAGAUACAGCAGUGAUUAGCAGUGAUUAGCAUGGUGGUGGUGUAUGAGGUGUUAGUGUGUGUUGAGCUGGUGGUACAGUGAGUGGAUCAGAUACAGCAGUGAUUAGCAUGGUGGUGGUGUAUGAGGUGUUAGUGAGUGUUGAGCUGGUGGUACAGUGAGUGGAUCAGAUACAGCAGUGAUUAGCAUGGUGGUGGUGUAUGAGGUGUUAGUGUGUGUUGAGCUGGUGGUACAGUGAGUGGAUCAGAUACAGCAGUGAUUAGCAGUGAUUAGCAUGGUGGUGUAUGAGGUGUUAGUGAGUGUUGAGCUGGUGGUACAGUGAGUGGAUCAGAUACAGCAGUGAUUAGCAGUGAUUAGCAUGGUGUAUGGUGGUGUAUGAGGUGUUCGUGAGUGU